rnacentral:lncRNA from 1 species
UCGAUUCGAGAACUCCGAUAUGACUACAAGUAAAUUGACCGAAACGAAAAAUAAAGUGAGCACAAGGAUUUACGUGGUUCGGCUUUAAUGCCUACGUCCACGGGCAGAGGCGAAAAGAAAUUUCACUAUAACAAGAUGAAGAUUACAAGUGUUUUACACUCAAGACACAACCCGAGAACCUCACAACUCUCAACCCCUAUAGAAAACCCGAAAGCUAAAAUCCUAGCUUUC